UGAAACUUAACCAAAAAAAAUUCAAGCAUUAACCACAUUUCCAUAUUAGAAAUCUGUGACAUUCUUCAUGAGAAACAAUAAAAUAUUCUUAAUUUACCCUCAAAAUUCUCUUAAUAUGCCAUUUCACAAACAUUAGAAGCAAAAACUUAAUAUCAUGGUCAAAGAAUUUACUUAACCACAUUGAAAAAAUCUACGUUGAGCUCCAAAGGGUCUUUGGACACAAUCAAGAAGCCCAUGAUAUUCGAAUAAUAAUAAUAAGUAAUAAGAAUCCCAUGCCAUUUUUUUCCAAAAAGACACCAGUUAUAUUUUUUAUAAAGCCCCAAUUCGUUUUUCUAUUGGCUUUCUAUAACCCAUGAUGGGUAACCCAUGAUAGGUAAUAAAGCUACCAAACAGCCCCUAAGAAAGUAUCCGGUGUCAGUGAAGCUAGAUUUGUGUGAAACUAUAAUUAACUAAUAAUAUUUUAAAAAUGUCAGGGUUGUGACAACAUAGUAAUCAUCUAAGGGUUGUGACGACAUACUUGGUAGCGCCACCAUGCAUAUAGCGGAGAUGCAUACACAUCUGAAUCGUGCCCAAAGCAAUCUUCAUUCUUCUUGAGCAGGUCAACGUAGCACAUACUCAUUUUUUAUCACAUAAACUUUGAUGAACUGAUAUCAGUAUUGCAAACAGAACCAAAUAACCAAAUAAGUGCAUAACAGAACCAAAUAACCAAAUUUGAUUUCGUUUUAGUUUAAUGGUUUUCUAACCAUUAAUCAAUCAAAAACAAAGACCAGAAAGUUCAGGACUUAC
rnacentral:lncRNA from 1 species